UGCGUAGGCGGAAAAUUAAGUCAGUGAUGAAAUCCUGCAGCUUAACUGUAGAACUGUUAUUGAUACUGAUUUUCUUGAAUAUAGUUGAGGUAGGCGGAAUGUGUAAUGUAGCGGUGAAAUGCUUAGAUAUUACACAGAACACCGAUUGCGAAGGCAGCUUACUAAGCUAUUAUUGACGCUGAGGCACGAAAGCGUGGGUAGCGAACAGGAUUAGAUACCCUGGUAGUCC
rnacentral:rRNA from 1 species